rnacentral:rRNA from 1 species
UUUCCUUCGGGAGACAAGUAGAGUGGCGCACGGGUGAGUAACACGUAGGUAAUCUACCUUUGGAUGGGGAAUAACAACCGGAAACGGUUGCUAAUACCGCAUAAUGCAGCGGCACCUAAUGGUGACAGUUGUUAAAGCGGGGGAUCGAAAGACCUCGCGUCUAAAGAGGAGCCUGCGGCGGAUUAGCUAGUUGGUAAGGUAAUGGCUUACCAAGGCUACGAUCCGUAACCGGCCUGAGAGGGCGGUUGGUCACACUGACACUGACAUACGGGUCAGACUCCUACGGGAGGCAGCAGUCGGGAAUUUUGGGCAAUGGGCGAAAGCCUGACCCAGCAACGCCGCGUGAAGGAUGAAAUCCCUCGGGAUGUAAACUUCGCAAGAACGGGAAGAAUAAGUAGGGGACAAUACCCCCUAUGAUGACGGUACCGUUUGUAAGCUCCGGCUAACUCCGUGCCAGCAGCCGCGGUAAUACGGGGGGAGCAAGCGUUGUUCGGAUUUACUGGGCGUAAAGGGCGCGUAGGCGGUCAGCACAAGUCAAUUGUGAAAUCUCCGAGCUUAACUCGGAAAGGUCAACUGAAACUGUGCGACUAGAGUGCGGAAGGGGCGACUGGAAUUCUUGGUGUAGCGGUGAAAUGCGUAGAUAUCAAGAGGAACACCUGCGGCGAAGGCGGGUUGCUGGGCCGACACUGACGCUGAAGCGCGAAAGCCAGGGGAGCGAACGGGAUUAGAUACCCCGGUAGUCCUGGCCUUAAACGAUGAAUGCUUGGUGUCUGGGGUUAUAAAGUCCCCGGGUGCCGUCGCUAACGCUUUAAGCA